UACGUAGGGUGCGAGCGUUGUCCGGAAUUACUGGGCGUAAAGCGUGCGUAGGCGGUUUCUUAAGUCUGUCGUGAAAGCCCCGGGCUCAACCUGGGAAUGGCGAUGGAUACUGGCUCGCUAGAGUGCGGUAGAGGAGAGUGGAAUUCCUGGUGUAGCAGUGAAAUGCGUAGAUAUCAGGAGGAACACCGAUGGCGAAGGCAGGUCUCUGGGCUGACACUGACGCUCA
rnacentral:rRNA from 1 species